GCCAAGUACAUGAACACAGCCCACUUCGCAUGGACCGCACAUGGACCGGUGCAUUCCCUCACUCACGCAACGCAAUGGGCCACAGCAACACUCGCGCACAAGCUCCAGCGUAUGGACUUCUCCAACACGUGGAUCCAUUCGCACCAAGCUAUCCUCACAUGGGCAGCUCAUCACUUCACCCUUACGCACACGUGGCCCCACCAGACGCUCAUUCCCGCACAUGGAUUCACAAUUUGAUGGCCCAUUCCCGCAUUUCAUGAAUUCAUGCACAGGGACCCGCGCACUUCACAAAUUCAUGCACAUUCAUCCAGCCUGGGCCCGCUUCGUUCUUGCACAUGGACUCCUCUAUCCCUUCACAAGGACCAAGCCAAGCUAACGCACAUUCCCACGGACAGCCCAUUCACGCCUCAACUCUCGCACGUGGGCCAUCAACACGCGUGGACAGCAAUUGGCAAUUAGGGCGACGUCUCUCCAGCUCUAUUUAAAGAGCUUUGAGCGGCCAGAAGUGGGGGAACUCAGAAUUCAAUUCGGCAAUUCCGCCGAGCUUCGGCGAGGCAGACGGGCAGAAUCCAAUUUUCGGUUCUUUUCUUUUCCUUUUAUUUUUCUAUUUUUAAUUCAGUCAAUGAAUGACUGAUUUCUUUUAUCUAGUUGAAUAUUGAUUGAAGUUUUAGUUGUUUAAUGGGUUGUGAGACUUGAUCAAAUAUUGUUUAAUUUUGAAAAUUCAAUAUUCAUGCAAUUUCAUAUUUAAUUAUCAUAUUAUUUUGUUAUUGAAAUCUACAUUGAUUUUUUAUUGCAAAAUAAUUAUUUGUUAGUUUGAAUAAUUUAAGUCCGUAAUUGCUUGGGUUAUUCUUACAUGAGAACACUUGGGAUAAAACUCAAGAAAAUUGCAUGAUCUAGCGUCAUUUCCAUACGUUUGGGUAGUUAGGAUUGGAUCUCUCUAUUUCUUAAUGCAAUUGACAAUUGUUUUGAUGCCUAAGGCCCAAGGACGUUCCUUGGCAUUUUGUUGAUUAGUAAUUAAUUAGAGGACGUUCCCUAAUUGGUUUAAUCAUAAGGAGAGAUAAUGGUGGUGAGAAGCGUCUUCCAUCUCCAUAAACUAAUCUAUUGAAUCAACUCAAAAGAACAAAGUUUCUGUGAUCAAUCCCAAUGACUAAAGUGGAUCCAAUACUUCAACUAGAGUUUUCUUAUUAUUUAUUUCUCUUUUAUUUUAUUAUUCACUUAUUUUAAUUGCUUUUAGUAGUUUAUUAAUCAAAUCAAUCUCAAAACCCCCCAUUUUACUUUUACUGCAAUUUAUUUUUAUUCCGCUUUUAGUUUAUCUCAUUUUUUGUUUAUCUCAUUGUUUCAGUUUAUUUUAUUGGUCUUGUUGAGAAAAAAAUAAAUAGGUAAUCAAUUCUCUGUGGAUUUGAUCCUUCACCACUAUCUGCAGUUGUAAAUUAUUGAUAACCAAGAAGGUUAUUUUUGACCGGUUUCGACAACCGCACUGUCACAUUUGUAUAAAAGAAAAACAUAUUUGAGACUAGUUUGACUUUUUUGUUUUGAAACCAAAAGAUAUUUCAUUACUAACAAGACUCAAAAGAAAGACAGUACACAAGAUGAGCUUCAAGCUAUGUGAUUAAGCAUAAUUUAGUCACAUUUUUACUAUUAUUAUUACUGCUAAAUUAUGUAUUUUCCUAAUUUAAUUUGUGUUUUUAUGAUACAUUUUGCAGAAAAUGUGAGAAAUGGAAACUUGGUGAAAAAUAGCUAAAAAUGCUGAAGAAUUAAUUUAGCCGAAGUGAUUUAGCCAAAUCAACCUCAAAGAAUGGCUAAGGAAGCUGCAGGAAGAAGAAGCCGAAAUUCAAAGUCUUGACAUGCCCAAGUUGAUUUGUCCGGAUUGCUGGCUAAAUCACUUGAAGAAAGUUGUAGCUGAAAUCCGAAGGUAACUCGCAGAAACGAUUUGGGCAAAUGAUUUGCCCAAAUCACUGUCCAAAUUAAUUGUCUCCGGCAGGAAAAUGCAGAAGUGCGGGAAAAGCAGAAAUUCAAAUUUUCAAGAGUCUUAGAGUUCUAUCCUAUUUCAAAUACACUGUUAGCAUGAUUAUAGGAAAUCAAUCUUUGCAUGAUUAUAGGAGAUUUGUUUAGCAUAAUUAUAGCAAUUAUUAUUCUUGUCAUAAUUAGCUCAUACUCUUCUGUAUAUAUAUAGAUGUAAUAUCUCUGUAAAAUAUAUACAAUAGAAAUACACAAUUUUCUCAUUAUUA
rnacentral:lncRNA from 1 species